UACGUAGGGCGCAAGCGUUAUCCGGAAUUAUUGGGCGUAAAGAGCUCGUAGGCGGUUUUGUCGCGUCUGCCGUGAAAGUCCGGGGCUCAACUCCGGAUCUGCGGUGGGUACGGGCAGACUAGAGUGAUGUAGGGGAGACUGGAAUUCCUGGAUGUAGCGGUGAAAUGCGCAGAUAUCAGGAGGAACACCGAUGGCGAAGGCAGGUCUCUGGGCAGUAACUGACGCUGAGGAGCGAAAGCGUGGGGAGCGAACAGG
rnacentral:rRNA from 1 species